rnacentral:sRNA from 1 species
UUCAUCCUCUGCCAUGAAGGUUUCCUCAUAAUCAUUUUUGUGCCCGCAUUAGAAAACAUCAAAGAUGUACAUGUAUUCUGACUUUAGAGAAACGUCUAUAUAUAAAAGACUUUUGGUGCUGCGUAUAUUGUUACUGAAUGACCUGGUGCUUCCAAACAGUAAAUGGAAGAAAUGAAAUUUGGUGCACAUUGCAUCCUCCUUGUCGCAUCAUUCAUGUUGCAAACUUAGCUCGUUGUCUGUGAUCAAAUUGUUUUAAAAAGAUAUGUGCAAUUCCUAUUAAUAUACAAGUAUAUUUCACAGAGGACGUUUAACAUUCACAUAUUGAAAUGGCAAUCUUUUUUUAUACUAUAUAUACAAAUUAAUUUAUUCCUAUUAUUAUUUUUUUUAUUUUUUACUUUAGAGAGUGGAGUGUGAAUGAACAUGAAAAUAAGGAGUAAAUGCAUACUGUGUACAUGGUUUUGAUGAGUGUGGGGGAAUAUUGGCAGAGGGUGAAUUUUGUUAAAACGGACUUCAAAGAAGGCCUUGUAAAUGGUUUGCUUGACAGUAAAGAGUCUUUGACCUGUGUGACUGAUAUCUAGAGGGACAGGGUCCAAAUCAAACUCAUGUAAACGGAACUUUCCAUGGUUCAAACAGUGGCGCUUGAUUUGUUCCUUGCGCAGUUUUUAAGUGAGCAAAUUAAGUUAUACAUUUUUGACAGCGAGUUGAUGAUUUACAUGUAAUCCAAUAUUGCUGGGUAUUGAUCUCACACUUUUUCAUUUUUUUUUGGAGAUGGGGAAAAGGGGAACAAAUAUUGUAAUGAAGGGAUUGUAUUGUGAACUGUUUGACCAUAGGAAAAUCUUGUUUCUCUUUUUUUUUUGUUCAUUGUGUAAUUAUAACGCUAUUCACAAGGUAUUUUGAGUGAAGAAAAUUGAUGACAGUACAUUGUAUACCCAUGUAUUUAAUUCUGUUUCAUCCAGCCAGGUGUUAUUUAUAGACCUUUUUCACAGCAAAUAAUCGCGUACAACUAAUUGGCAUGUCAUGUAUGUUGAUGUUAUAAACCCAACAGGAAGCGAGGGGGGGGGGGGGGGGGGGGGGGGGGAAGAUACUCCAAGAGAGAGUGCUUACAUAAUAGGACGGCAUAUUUUGUAUUAGUUACGGUAUAUUUCUCGUCUCUUUUUUCUUUUUUUGUGCUGUGCUGUAUAUUUUGGGGGGAUACAAACCUACAAUCCAGCAGCUCAGACUAUUGAAAACAAGUUGAAUGUGGUUGUUCAAAUAAAAUAUCUCAAUGUU